rnacentral:rRNA from 1 species
AUACGGAGGGUGCAAGCGUUACUCGGAAUCACUGGGCGUAAAGCGCGCGCAGGCGGCUAUUUAAGUUGGAUGUGAAAGCCUAUGGCUCAACCAUAGAACUGCAUCCAAAACUAUUUAGCUAGAGUGUGGGAGAGGAAGAUGGAAUUAGUUGUGUAGGGGUAAAAUCCGUAGAGAUAACUAGGAAUACCAAAAGCGAAGGCAAUCUUCUGGAACACUACUGAAGCUGAGGCGCGAAAGCGUGGGGAGCAAACAGGAUUAGAAACCCUAGUAGUCC